rnacentral:rRNA from 1 species
UACGUAGGCAGCAAGCGUUGUUCGGAGUUACUGGGCGUAAAGGGUGUGUAGGCGGUUGUUUAAGUUUGGUGUGAAAUCUCCCGGCUCAACUGGGAGGGUGCGCCGAAUACUGAAUGACUUCGAGUGCGGGAGAGGAAAGUGGAAUUCCUGGUGUAGCGGUGAAAUGCGUAGAUAUCAGGAGGAACACCGGUGGUGUAGACGGCUUUCUGGACCGUAACUGACGCUGAGACACGGAAGCGUGGGUAGCAAACAGG